rnacentral:rRNA from 1 species
UACGUAGGUGACAAGCGUUGUCCGGAUUUACUGGGCGUAAAGAGCGCGCAGGCGGUCGAUCAAGUCGAGUGUGAAAGCCCCCGGCUCAACUGGGGAGGGUCAUUCGAUACUGGUCGACUCGAAGGCAGGAGAGGGUAGUGGAAUUCCCGGUGUAGUGGUGAAAUGCGUAGAUAUCGUGAGGAACACCAGAGGCGAAGGCGGUUACCUGGACAGUUACUGACGCUCAGGCACGAAAGCAUGGGGAGCAAAAGGG